rnacentral:lncRNA from 1 species
CUCUGAUUCAGUUUGAGAAAAGAGGACACAAAAGCAUGAAUAACAGGAGGAUGGAUAUAGAAUACCAGCAUCAGCAAGUGUACACGAUUUAAAGCACAUUUGGUAUCUAUUACCAAGCUGCCCUUCAGAGAGGUUGUCUCGUUACACAUUCCACAGCUGUGACUGAGAAACCGUCUUGUCGCAUUUGACAAUCCAGGUUACUAUCUAAAAACUUGAGUUUGUAAGAGCAACACGCCAUGAGAUAAUAUUCGUGCAAAUGUAACUGACAAAAGACUAACAUCCCAUAAUACUAGAGCACCUACAAACCAAGAAGAUAAACAUCCCAUUGGGAAAGUGUAAAAAUAUGAACAUAAAGUUUACAGAAGAAAAAACACAAAUGGCUCAUAAACACACAAAAAGAUGAUAUUGCUUCCUGGUAAUUGGGGAAAUGCAAACAAAAACUACAAUGAAAUAUCGUGGUAUCGUGUAUCAAAUUUGCAGAGCAUAAAAUAGAUUACAUUCGCAACCAGCAACUACAACCCAACCUUCAGCCUCACUGGACUUCUUGCCAUUCCCCAAACCAUAUCCACGCCCCUCUCCACAGGCUGUUCCUUCUGCCUGCAUGCCCUCGAUGGCACCAAGGGGGAUGGGCACACUAACACAACUGCUGGGAAUGGGAAAGUUUCAACCUCUUGGGAAUAAAAUCUAACAGUAUUUAUUGGAAUGUAACCUGUGCAUACUCCACAGCUGGGCCACUACCCUGCAAGAACCCCUCUGGCUGCUGCACAAAGCUCUUCUCUGCAUCCUUUUUUAUACUAGUGGAACCCUGGACACAGCCUGCAUAUGGAUCAAAAGGGCAGUGGUUAUAAAUAUACUAUGGUCCAUCUCUAGGCUAGACUGUGAUGCAGUGGUUAAAGCCAAGUAUUGCAGAAGAGUGAUUAAGCAUUCGUGCUCCAAAGCCAGAUAGCCUAGGUUUCAAUCCCAGCUUUGCCACUUACUUGCUGUGUGAUCUUGUGCAACUCACUUAGCCUUUCUGUGUCACAGUUUCUCCAUCUGUAUAACGGACGAUAACACUAGCCCCUACCUCAUAGGGUCAUUGUGAAGAGUAAAUGAAAUUAAUAUUGCCUAUGUCACAGAGUGAUCCUCCUCAAAAUCUAUUAGAUGAAAAAAGAAAUUUCUAGAAAUUAUCUACAUACAUAUUCUGAUGGGAUUUGUGUAAAGAAUUUAACCAACAAACCCAUAUUACACACACAUACACACACACUCACACAGACACACUCACACACACACACACGCACUCACGUGCGUAGAAGUAGAUCUAGGAAGAUCCAUGACACACAUGCGAGGCAGGUGAAUGGGGACAUUAAAAGGAGGACUUCCACGUUUAAUUCUGAAUGGUCUAUUUUAUUUGUGCAAUUUUUAAAAAUCAAAGCAAUAAAUCACUGUAAAAGAA